ACUCUUGACCCUUCUUUUGU
rnacentral:miRNA from 1 species